rnacentral:rRNA from 1 species
UACAGAGGGUGCGAGCGUUAAUCGGAAUUACUGGGCGUAAAGCGCACGUAGGUGGCGACGUAAGUCGGGUGUGAAAGCCCCGGGCUCAACCUGGGAAUUGCAUUCGAGACUGCAUUGCUGGAGUACGGAAGAGGAGGGCGGAAUUCCCGGUGUAGCGGUGAAAUGCGUAGAUAUCGGAAGGAACGCCGGUGGCGAAAGCGGCGCGCUGGACCUCUUCUGACGCUGAGGCGCGAAAGCCAGGGGAGCAAACGGG